rnacentral:lncRNA from 1 species
GUGAUCAUUAUAAAAAUGCAUUGGUACAUGUUUAGACAUUAACCCCUCUCCAGGCUGCUCCUCUCCUUAACCAUUUCUUUAAUCACUAUUAUUUCUUUAAUCUCCAUAAGCACUUUCAGAUCCAACUCACAUAUCCAGAUUCUUCUCCCUCUUCAUUAUCACAAUCUGCUCUUCCUGAGAAAAGAAACACAUUAAAGCAUACACAGAGAGAUAGAGGCUUGUAGUGAAAUAUAUGCAGGGGAAGUGACACGUCUUUUGCCUUGUGUCUGAAAAAAGAUCAAACAAAAGGGUAAGAAGUCUUUGAGAUAUCAUCUUUACAGAUUUGACUAACUAUUAAGAUGUUGCUUUUUUUAAUUUAUUUUGUUCCUAUUCAUUUUUGGUUCUGGCUUUAAUUCAAAGGAGAGUAAAAAGAUUCAAUCUUGAUGAUGAUGAUGAUGAUGAACAUUAUUAGACCACAACUCAUUGUAAAGUAAUGAUUUUUCUUCUGACCCGUGACCUCCAUUGUUGCAGAGACUCUGGAACGGAACUGGCUCUUGGUUCUUCUUGGUCAAAUCUGAACUGAGGGUAGGAGGAGAAAAGAAAGAAAAAAAUUAAAGAGAAGAAUAAACAAAUUGGGUUUCAACAGUGUUGAGAAGAAGAGGACCCCACAAAAUGGAAGAGUUAGAUACAUCACAUGCAGUUUCUCAGAUUUUACCUCAAUCUCCUUGAACUACAUCAACUGUUGCAUUCAUGUUCUGACUCAUCUCCUCACAGUCCCACUCACUUCAAUAUAAAUCUGUCAGAGAAAGACCACAAUGAUUCAUACCAAGUUUGAGAGAUAAAGACAGAGCCUUUUGAGCUGGGAGCUUCAUUUGAGUUUUGAUUUUGGUUUGGUGAGGAAGUUAAGAAGACAAGGGAGUAAUGAGGGGAAUAGAAGACGAGUCAGAAGCAAGUUUAGUUGGAUUAACCAUAAGAACUUCAUCACCUGCAAGCUCUUCAAGUAAGAAAGGUAAAGAUCUUCUUCAAACAAGUAAUGCUUCAGAUUCAUCUCCAAGUAUCAAAAACUCUCCUUUCAAUUCACCUUCUCUUGUGUCCCCACCAUCUUCUGCUUUUGUUUCCGCUUUACAAUCUCCUUAUAUAUCCCCAAGAGCUACACAACCCAUUACCACAACCACCAC